rnacentral:rRNA from 1 species
GAUGAACGCUGGCGGCGUGCCUAAUACAUGCAAGUAGAACGCUGAAGCUUGGUGCUUGCACCGAGCGGAUGAGUUGCGAACGGGUGAGUAACGCGUAGGUAACCUGCCUCUUAGCGGGGGAUAACUAUUGGAAACGAUAGCUAAUACCGCAUAAAAGUCGAUAUCGCAUGAUAUUGAUUUGAAAGGUGCAAUUGCAUCACUAAGAGAUGGACCUGCGUUGUAUUAGCUAGUUGGUGAGGUAACGGCUCACCAAGGCGACGAUACAUAGCCGACCUGAGAGGGUGAUCGGCCACACUGGGACUGAGACACGGCCCAGACUCCUACGGGAGGCAGCAGUAGGGAAUCUUCGGCAAUGGGGGCAACCCUGACCGAGCAACGCCGCGUGAGUGAAGAAGGUUUUCGGAUCGUAAAGCUCUGUUGUAAGAGAAGAACGAGUGUGAGA